AUGUCCCAGCGAGGGGACAGGGGCGAGGGGCACGCGAGGAGACCCGGCGGCCGCUCUAACAGCUUCGGCGGCCACCGCGGAGGCGGAGUCGGCGGCGCGGGCAAGGGCGCCGGGGGCCCCUCCGGCGGCCAGCCUCCCCUCUCAUCCAACCGCAGCUUCAGGAAGCCUGGCAAUGGCCAUGGCGGUCACCAGAGGGUGGUGAACCAGCCAGACACCACUGGCUUCCAGCCCGCCCCGGCACCUGGGCCCCUGCAGACGCCUCCGCGCCCUCCCGCGCCUCAGAAUGCGCCUGUCCAUGUUCCUGUCUCCGCGCCACGGCCCCAGCAUCAUGAUUCACCCGGAUUGCAAGCACCCUCCAUGUCACCUGCCAGUGAAAAUCCAACAUAUAUACCCCUGCCGAAGAAUAUUCCUCGGGCUGGCCCCAAGGCACCACCAAAGAGCUCCAAUGCACCGGCUCCUCAGGGUGCGCCAAAAGGGGAAUCAUCAAAGGGAUUUAACUUGCAGUUUGGUAGUAUAAACAUGAACAUGAAUGGUCUCCCGCAAUUUCCUGCUAGGACAAGCUCAGCUCCUCCCAAUUUGGAUGAGCAGAAACGUAAUCAGGUACUUUCAGAUGGACCUAAGGUUGCACCAUCUAUGCCUGUACCACCAGCUCUAAAACAGCCACAUCCCACGCCACAGCAGCAGCAGCAGCAUCCCCCACCACAGCAGCUGCUGCAGCAGCAGCAUCAUCCCCUGCCGCAGCAGCAGCAUCAUCCCCAGCCGCCGCAGCAGCAGCAACAGCCCCCACCACAGCAGCAACCACUGCCACAGCAACAGCAAACGAGGAAGGAUGCUCUUGGUCCUAGUCAACCGAACACCCUGAACACUCAUGUUCCAUCCCAAGUGAAGAGAGAUGUGCAUGUUUCUCCUUCAAUUCAGAAUUUUGCGCCACAGAGGCCCUCUGUUCAACCUUUACCGGGCAUGGGCAUGCCGAUGCAUUUUCACCAUCAACAACAAACAGUCCCAUUACAGUUUGGUGGUCACAAUCAGGGAGUUGUCCCAAGCUCAAUGCAGAUGCCCAUUGGCUUGCCUGGUGGCAAUGCAUCCCAGGUUCAGCAGCAGAUGUAUGUCCAAAAUAUGCAGCAACAAUUGCAUCAGCAAAUGAUGCAUCAAGGACAAACAAUGAUGUAUCCGUCUGUUGCUCAUACAAUCCCUCCUCAACUGGGCAAUGUUAAUUUGAACAUGGCUACACAGUAUCCUCAGCAACAGCAGAAUAAGCUUGUUGCUCCCCGAAAGAGCAGUAAUAUCAAAAUUACUGAUCCAAAUACCAACAAAGAAGUGGUGCUUGGGCGGCCUUCACCUAAUGUAGCAGCACAACCACAGCAAGUCAGUGGUGUUGCAACUCAACCUAUGGUUUACUAUACGAAUCCACAGCAGACCUCGUAUAGCCAGUCAGGUACGUAUUACUCCGGCACUGCUGGUGUUGUUCCCACAGGAUCACAGGGCAGGUUUAGUUAUCCUGCCACUCAAGCUGGUCAAUCAAUCCCAUUCAUGAACCCAUCUAUGUCAAAUACUGUUCCUGCCAGCCACAAGGACAACAUAGCUGGGCCUGCAACAUCUGGUCAGUCCCAACUCAUAGGCAAACCACAAGGUGGGUUGCACAUGGAAAAACCUGUUCCCUCGGUCAAGAUAAGUAUGCCUGCAGGUAGAUCAGAUGCUUCUAAGUUCAGGGUCGCUGACCAUGCUGUACAACAUCGACAAAAGGAUAGUGAAGUUAUUUCUGGUGCUAUGGUUUCGAAUAAACCAGUUAUUGAGAAGGAGAGUAAGGCACCAUCUAUCCCAGAGAAGCAUUCCAAGGAAAGUACAGCACCAUCAACCGUGGAGAAGCAUCCCACUACGGUGACUCAACCCUUACCGAUUGAAGCUGCAAAGCCAGAAACUGAUGCAGCGACAUAUUCUGGUGCAAAUUCACCCUCAUUCUUGACCGGAGCUGAUGAAAAGAAAGAAUCCCUUCCAAUAACUGAUUCACUUAAGGAUAACAAGAAAAAUGCAACUAGAAAUGACACAAAGAAUUUGCCGCAACAACCACAGCCUGCUUCCCCUGCCGAAGAGUUGAAGGGGCAAACUUCUGUGAAGGUUGGAGAUGAUGUGGUUGGUCACAUGGAAACAAAGAGCUUCGAUAGUGAACAGGUGGAUUUAACCAGCAAGGGUUCAGGCUUGACAUCAGCAACAUCUGAAAGUAGCAUUUCUCCUAUUCUUGGUAAAAGUGAAGCUGAUAGCACAUCAGUAAAUGCUGCUGAUGUUCCUGCCAUGGUAAUCAGCUCUGCAAAAUUGUCCUCUGCAAGCACUGGGGAGCCCCAAGCAGUAGAAAGCUUAGGUGUUGCUGCUGUUAAAUCUAAGGAGAUUGAAAUAACUCACCAAAUUUCACCUGAAUCUGGUGAUGUCAAAAUUAUGUCUGAUUCUACUGAAAAUGAAUCGCAUGACUGCAUGGUGGAUUUGGCUGAGCAGGCAUCAUUGGCAACUUCAAAGCCUGGUAAUUCAGAUGCAACAUCUUUUGUAACUGACCCACAAGAGCUACCCAAGGAGUGCACAACAUCUGUACCAGAGGAGCACAGUUUGAUGAAUACAUCACAUAAUAAGGAUACUGAAACUUUAUCAGCUUCUGUGGAUGCCAACGAUGUGUCUGAGGCCAAUUCUGGAACCUCAUCAGAGUCUACCAGCCAAAUUGCCAAUGAUAAAGAUAUCAGAAGUAGCAUUCAGGAAACCGGAUUAGCUGUUUCCGGUAUUACUCCUGGCAUGUUGCCUGUGAAUCAUUCAGUUGCAUCUGAGGGGCAAGUGAAACAUGCAGAUGGAGCGAAGGAUGAGUCAAGCACUGAGCAAUCAAGUGCCGCACCAACAGGUUCUGUUAGACCAUUAUCAAGGGAAAAACCUACUGCAGAGCUUACCCGAACAAAAUCUGCAGCUGGGAGAAAGAAGAAGCGGAAGGAAAUGCUUUCAAAAGCUGAUGCUGCUGGGACCUCAGAUCUUUACAAUGCAUACAAAGGACCACAAGAACAGUCUGAUAGUGUUGCCACAUCAGAGGGUGCUGAUAGUUCUUCAACAGUCGACGGGACACAUGUGCUGCCUGAGGAAUCAGAAAGGGAGGCGAUGUGCGAGGAUGAUGGAAAGAAAAAAGUUGAGCCGGAUGAUUGGGAAGAUGCAGCAGACAUGUCUACUCCAAAGCUGCAAAGUUCGGACUCUGGAAACCAGGCUAGUGCAGUUCAAUUGCCAGAUUCUGAUAUGACUGAAGCUAAUGGCCGAAAGAAAUAUUCUCGUGAUUUUCUGCUAACUUUUGCACAUCAGUAUUCUAGUCUUCCUGUUGGCAUCCGGAUGGAUACUGUCACUAGUACGCUAUUCAAAGAUUUGGCAGGAAAAUCCUAUGUUAUUGAUCGGGAACCUCACCCAAGUUCUGCAAGGGGAUCUGAUAGACCAACAUCUCGUGGUGAUCGCCGUGGUCCUGCUAUGGAUGAUGAUAAGUGGUUAAAAUCAGGUGUUCCUUACAGUCCUAACCGUGAUGCCCACAUGGACUUGACAAACGGCCCAGCAAUGAAUUACCGUGGCGGCCCAGGAGCCACUCAUGGUGUUUUGAGGAAUCCACGUGCUGCACUUCUUGUGGGACCACAAUCCAAUGCUCCUCAAGUACCCCGCAGUGGCUCUGAUGCAGAUAGAUGGCAGCAAAAGGGUCUGAUCCCAUCUCCUGUUACACCCAUGCAAGUAAUGCACAAAGCUGAGAAAAAGUAUGUUGUCGGCAAAGUUUCUGAUGAGGAGCAGGCAAAGCAGAGGCAGCUGAAAGCCAUUCUGAAUAAACUGACCCCACAAAACUUUGACAAGCUUUUUGAACAAGUGAAAGAGGUAAACAUUGACAAUGUGUCAACUCUUACUGGGGUGAUUUCACAGAUAUUUGACAAAGCUUUGAUGGAACCAACUUUCUGUGAAAUGUACGCCAACUUCUGUUCCCAUUUGGCUGGUGCACUGCCAGACUUUAGUGAGGACAAUGAAAAGAUUACAUUCAAGAGACUGCUAUUGAACAAGUGCCAAGAGGAGUUUGAGAGGGGCGAAAGAGAAGAAGCUGAAGCAGAUAAAACGGAGGAGGAAGGUGAGAUUAAGCAAACGAAAGAGGAAAGGGAAGAAAAGAGAGUUAAAGCUCGAAGGCGCAUGCUGGGUAAUAUUAGGUUGAUUGGAGAAUUGUACAAAAAGAGGAUGCUGACAGAGCGCAUCAUGCAUGAAUGCAUCAAAAAAUUGUUGGGAAAUUAUCAGAAUCCAGACGAGGAGAACAUUGAAGCACUAUGCAAAUUGAUGAGUACAAUUGGAGAGAUGAUAGAUCAUCCAAAGGCUAAGGAACAUAUGGAUGCAUAUUUUGAUAGAAUGCGCAACCUGUCAACCAGUCAACUGAUAUCUUCCCGUGUUAGAUUCCUGCUCAGAGAUUCAAUCGAUCUCAGGAAGAACAAAUGGCAGCAAAGGCGUAAAGUGGAUGGCCCCAAGAAGAUCGAUGAGGUUCACAGGGAUGCAGCUCAGGAAAGACAUGCUCAAUCUCAAUCGAGUAGGUCUCGUGGUCCAGUCGUUAGUUCUCUUCCAAGAAGAGGGGCACCCUCUAUGGAUUACGGCUCCCGUGGCUCAGCAGCACCAUUGGUAUCUCCAGGUCCUCAGCAACGAGGGCGUGGAUUUGGUAAUCAAGAUAUUCGGUAUGAGCAGGAAAGGCAUCAGUUUGAUAGAACUGUUCCCCUUCCCCAGCGUUCUGUGAAGGACGAAGCUAUCACUCUUGGACCACAAGGUGGCCUAGCUAGGGGUAUGUCUUUAAGAGGGCAGCCACCGGUAUCAAAUUCUGAACUUCCUAGUGUUGUUGACCAGCGCAGGAUUGUAUCUGGUCCUAAUGGGUACAAUUCUGUGCCUUCAACAACAAGAGAAGACACUAGCUCUAGAAUUCCAGAUCGAUUUUCUGGGAGAAUAGCACCUGCUGCACAAUCUGCUAGUUCUUCACACAGACCUGCCAGCCAGGAGGGUCGUUCAGGAAAUAAAUCAUACUCCGAGGAGGAAUUGAGAGAGAAAUCUAUUGCAACCAUCCGGGAAUAUUAUAGUGCGAAAGAUGAAAAGGAAGUUGCAUUGUGUAUUGAAGAGUUGAAUGCUCCGAGCUUCUAUCCUUCUCUUGUAUCACUUUGGGUAAAUGAUUCCUUUGAGAGGAAAGAUAUGGAAAGAGAGUUGUUGGCAAAGCUCUUUGUCGGGCUUUACAACGGUGGAUAUAAUUUAUUGAGCAAGCCUCAGCUCAUUGAGGGGCUUUCAUCUGUUCUUGCUUCAUUGGAAGAUGCUCUAAGUGAUUCUCCAAGAGCGGCAGAGUAUCUUGGACGACUUCUUGCAAGGUUUGUGGUGGAGAAGAUACUGGUUUUGCAAGACGUAGGUAAAUUGAUUGAAGAAGGCGGAGAGGAGCCUGGACACCUUGUGCAGGAAGGCAUUGCAGCUGAUGUCCUUGGGGCAGUCUUGGAGUGGAUCAAAACAGAAAAGGGGGAUUCCUUCUUGAAGGAGGCCAAGACAAGCUCCAAUCUCAAGUUGGAGGAUUUCAGACCGCAGCAUCUUAAGAGGUCAAAGUUGGAUGCCUUCAUGUUGACAUAA
rnacentral:rRNA from 1 species